GGUCUGAUCUAAAACUGCUACUAUUCAUAUAUCUACCAUUAAUCUCUUUAAUUUUUAUCUUUGUACAAGCAGAUCUCAAUUCUCUCUGUUCCCAAGACUUUUCCUCAUCUUUUACAUCAACCUAGGGUUUCAUCUUUUUCUUCGAGUUUUAUAUCUCGAUCAUUUUCACUUUGUUUUCGUGUAAGAAAUCGAGCUUCAAAGCUCUAUCUUCGUUAUUUCCAUUAGAAAACCACAUAAAACUUUCGAUUUCUUCCCCUUGGAAAACUUAUGGUGUUGAGUUACUUGAUUGGGUUCUUGAUGGUGGUCGCAAAGAUUCUAUAAUAUGUGAUUUCUUACAAGGUAUGGUCAUUCUCCAGGUACCUCAAAGUGGCUCGGUAAGUACUUCUUUGCUGGUUCAAAUUUUUGAGAAUGUGGCGGCUAGUGAAAUUGAUACUGGAGUGUGUGUUGGUAAACAAAUUAGUGGUUUUUAUGUUUCUGGACUAGGGUUUUAGUAAUAGAUGGUUAGGGUGUUAUAAUCUGACUCUUGUAUUCUGCGAAACUAUAGAAGUGUAGAAGAAUUUGGACCAUUUGGUGAUUGUUUUUCCAUGUUCUUGGUUUUUGGCAGGUAGUUUCCUCUAUCCACAUCAAUUGUUUGGUGAUAAUUUCUUUAUUAUUUUGCUCCCAUAUUUCUUAAUUUGAUGUUCAUAGUUAAGAUUCAAGUAGAGGUCUAUGAUCUUUAUUUUGAUUCUCAGGUGGAUCAAGGAGACUUCAUGGGCGGAGUUAGCUACAAGGCAUGGGAAUUUCUCCAGGAAAUGCAGCUUUUCUUGGCUACGGGAAGUGCUUUGGUUCGGAAGUUUACAGUAAUGGCUGCGACUACACAAUUUCUUCUGAUAACUGCGAGAACAAGACCUCCAAUCAAGGUGCAGUGGAAGCUACUUUAGAGUGUUGAAGUUAAAUCAAUAUGAGGUAGUGGAGGCUACUUCAGAACAAUGGAGUUUAGGAAAUAUUUUCUAUUUAGUAGUGAAAAGUAUGAUAUGAUUUAUUUAUCAAAGUUUUAUAUAUCUUUUGUUUUAUCAAAGAG